AGAUAUACAUAUUCAUUGUUGGUGGGAACAGAACAAGCCGUUGCCGACAGCAACACACGUGGUGAUGAACACAUGACUCCUGGUGUCCGGGAUGUAUGGGUUGCUAGAAGACGUUGAUGUCAUACACAAACCAUCCGUUCCUUCGUCAUUGCAGGUAUGGACAGAAGAGCGAACACCUUCCAAACUUCUUUUACAGGUAAAUUCGUCCCUUUCACCCGCAAGGUCAGUUAAUCUUCGAGGGGGAAUAGAAAGCUGCAAAUUAUUCACACGUGCGAACUCAACCGUUGUCAUAUCUGAUUAAUAAGAUCUAUGACGUAUUCUAGUGUCACGUGUCAACCUGAAAAAUCAAGUAUAGAUACUUUGAUGGAAGUCUUCGCAAAGUUGUCUCUUGAUAUACAAAACGAUCAACCACCUUGUUUAUUUUUGUUUGUUUUCGGCUGUUUUUUUUUGCGCCUUGAGUCUUUCUGCUCCAUAUUAUCAUAAUGUUCAUUUACUUUCUUGCUUCACUAUAAGAGGUAGAAGAGACAAAAAGGAUGUAUGGUGGUUCAGCUUUUGCUUUGGGAUCAAAACUUUAGCAUCUGAGCUAAAAGGCAAGAUAUGUAAAUUAGAACGAGCAGCAAACUUUGACGAUCUGGUUCCAGACAGACAUGAUUGGUAAGUAUUAUCAUGUGAGGGUUGCUAUGACUUAUGCUUUAGGUCUGUAUCGACCCCAUCAUGUAUAUGUUAACCUCUUUAUCUAUCACAUCUUCAGAAACUAUGCCUAGUGUGUGUUGGGUGGUGUAGUCGCGGUAAAGGGGAGCACGUGGAAACAGUCAAAAGGAAAAACAAUCCUCACAGCUUGCUACAAAAAGAAUAUAUAAAUUAAAUAACCCACCUAAGAAAUGAAUGUUUAUAUCUGGUCGUAAAUAUAUAUUGAUUGCUUUCGACAAAUGCGUCAGUGUACUCGUUUCACUGGGAAGAAAAAUAAAAAAUAAAAAAUGUCACCAUGGAAACAGA